rnacentral:rRNA from 1 species
GCCCUACGGGUGGCUGCAGUGGGGAAUAUUGGACAAUGGGCGAAAGCCUGAUCCAGCCAUGCCGCGUGUGUGAAGAAGGUCUUCGGAUUGUAAAGCACUUUAAGUUGGGAGGAAGGGCAGUAAGCUAAUACCUUGCUGUUUUGACGUUACCAACAGAAUAAGCACCGGCUAACUCUGUGCCAGCAGCCGCGGUAAUACAGAGGGUGCAAGCGUUAAUCGGAAUUACUGGGCGUAAAGCGCGCGUAGGUGGUGCAGCAAGUUGGAUGUGAAAUCCCCGGGCUCAACCUGGGAACUGCAUCCAAAACUACUGAGCUAGAGUACGGUAGAGGGUGGUGGAAUUUCCUGUGUAGCGGUGAAAUGCGUAGAUAUAGGAAGGAACACCAGUGGCGAAGGCGACCACCUGGACUGAUACUGACACUGAGGUGCGAAAGCGUGGGGAGCAAACAGGAUUAGAUACCCCAGUAGUCACG